UGUAUGUGAUGUUUAAGUUGCCGCAAUUGUUCUAGUAAUAAAUGUAAUAUUCAGCAGCAUUUUUCAUAGAUUACUCAGUUCGUCAUUAGUGCCAUUUGCCUCUUUAUAAUAAUGUGCACUUUCCUUUAGAAAGAGCUUGGUUAUUUCUUUGGUUGGGCCUAUUUGCUCCUUUUUUAUGUGAGAUUUUUCAAUACUAUGAAAUGAUGCAGAGCAAAAAAGGUCCAUCCACUUCACUCUCGUGUUGCCUCCUGCGCUACCUAAACCACAACAGAACAAUGACAGACAACAGAGCCUUUCUCCUCUCUAACAAUUCAAUCACCAUGACAACCAGCAGAAGAACGUUGGGCCAGAAAAAAGCAUUGAGCUUGAGGGACUAGACUAAUCAAAAAAUGGAAUAACAUGGCAACAAUUACCCUGAUGAGUGAGAGGGAAGCUGCGGAUGCAUUCAGACACCUAUGGCACUGCAGACUCCACGCACUCAGCAUUUUGUGUUUAGUGUCUUGUGUUUUUGAGAGCAGACAAAUACUAUGAUGUCCUCAAUACCUGGAAACACCACCACCACCUCCUUCCUGUUCACCACCACAGCCCCUCUUGUAACCAAAAAUUUGCAAAAGGGGAGUUUGGAGUAUGCUGUGCAGAAGACAACUGAAAUUGAGUUGAGUUUUCAAACAUUCACCACCUUUAUCUCAUAUAAGCA